AGCGUUAAUCGGAAUUACUGGGCGUAAAGCGCACGCAGGCGGUUUGUUAAGUCAGAUGUGAAACCCCCGCGCUUAACGUGGGAACUGCAUUUGAAACUGGCAAGCUAGAGUCUUGUAGAGGGGGGUAGAAUUCCAGGUGCAGCGGUGAAAUGCGUAGAGAUCUGGAGGAGUACCGGUGGCGAAGGCGGCCCCCUGGACAAAGACUGACGCUCAGGUGCGAAAGCGUGGGGAGCAAACAGGAUUAGAUACCCUGGUAGUCCACGCUGUAAACGAUGUCGACUUGGAGGUUGUGCCCUUGAGGCGUGGCUUCCGGAGCUAACGCGUUAAGUCGACCGCCUGGGGAGUACGGCCGCAAGGUUAAAACUCAAAUGAAUUGACGGGGGCCCGCACAAGCGGUGGAGCAUGUGGUUUAAUUCGAUGCAACGCGAAGAACCUUACCUACUCUUGACAUCCACGGAAUUCGCCAGAGAUGGCUUAGUGCCUUCGGGAACCGUGAGACAGGUGCUGCAUGGCUGUCGUCAGCUCGUGUUGUGAAAUGUUGGGUUAAGUCCCGCAACGAGCGCAACCCUUAUCCUUUGUUGCCAGCACGUAAUGGUGGGAACUCAAAGGAGACUGCCGGUGAUAAACCGGAGGAAGGUGGGGAUGACGUCAAGUCAUCAUGGCCCUUACGAGUAGGGCUACACACGUGCUACAAUGGCAUAUACAAAGAGAAGCGAACUCGCGAGAGCAAGCGGACCUCAUAAAGUAUGUCGUAGUCCGGAUUGGAGUCUGCAACUCGACUCCAUGAAGUCGGAAUCGCUAGUAAUCGUAGAUCAGAAUGCUACGGUGAAUACGUUCCCGGGCCUUGUACACACCGCCCGUCAUACCAUGGGAGUGGGUUGCAAAAGAAGUAGGUAGCUUAACCCUCGGGAGGGCGCUUACCACUUUGCGAUUCAUGACUGGGGUGAAGUC
rnacentral:rRNA from 1 species